AGAUACUCCUAAACGGAGCUAUUAAAUUAAGAAGAAAUUCACUUGGUUCCAAGAAGGCAAGAAUCAUUCAAGGAAGGUUCAUGCUCCAAUUUGCAGCACAUGGAAAAAUUUUAUUGCCGAUAUGGCUGCUUGCAUCGCAGGAGCUGAUCGAGAAGGACGAACAAACAUGGCAGUCUGGCUGGCCUCUGGGAAACUGGGGAGUUGCAAGUAGGUGAGCCAAUCAUCAGGCUUGCUCUUGUUUUCUCUUUAAGCAUUGUGGAUCGAGAUGGCAAUGUUAAUUGUGUUCAGGUGAGGUCAGCUGCUCGCGGAGAGCCAUUGAUCGGACUUCACCUAGCUCGCUAGACAUGGGGUGUCAUGUGGUCGUAGUACCAACUGCCAGGAACCAAAUUGCAAGGCCCCUGGAAUCGAAUCAGGGAACUCUGUGGUAGCUCUCGUAUUCCAAACAGUUUGGGCUCAACCUUGUGGUGAUCAUCAGCUGGCUGCAGGCAUUCUGUGAUCCAAUCUUUCAGCAGCUGAACCAUCAAACU
rnacentral:lncRNA from 1 species